rnacentral:pre_miRNA from 1 species
CUUGGCACAAUGUUGUGUGUAGACUACAGCUUUCUAUCUGCACCAAUAUGAUGCCAGGCG